UAGGGAAAGAGAGAAAUUUUAUUUUUUGAGUUACAAAACCAACACUACUUAUGUAAGGCUACUAUACUUUUUAAGAAGUGAACUUUUUUUAAAGGAAAAUUUUUGGAUUUUUAUUGAUUAAUUAAACUCAUGCAUCACUUUGGGCCCAACACCCUUAUUAAUCCACACAAAACAAGAAAAUAAAAAACAAAAAAAACACUUAACACUUAAAAAUAGCCCAACCCGUUCCAAUAAUGACCUGAACAUGUUGCUCCUAUAUAUACCCUUUGUAGGUUUCCUAUUCCCACUUUGUAUUCCAUUUCCAAUCCCCCACCUAUAGUUAUGUUGCCACCGCAUGAUAACUCCACUUUCAUCAUACUACUUCCUUGGGUCAUUAACUUUUUUGGCUUAAUCCUUCCAUGUCCUGCUGUAUCAGCUAUCACGAGUAAUGUUUCUUCCUUGUUUUGAUUUCUUUGUUGUUUUGCCUGAUUUUUAUUUUUUCCAGCUGAGACCUCUGAUAGAUGGAGAAGAGUGCAACACUCUGUUUGAUCCAAUCUCCUGGCAGUUCGUUCUCUCAUUCUUUUAUCUGGUGGAGCUGGAAUGAAAUGCAUGGAUAACUUCAAUCCAUUGCCCCAAAUAUUAAAAGUUCAAGUUCCAGGUCGAUUCGGGCUCCUUCCAUUUUGCUGGGCCAUUUUUAUUGAUUGAAGUACAUAGGCUAGCUAGAUUUUCACCUUUUUGGUUGGCUCUUCUGCUCUUGUAAAUAUGCUUUGUGAAAAAUUGUAUGCUAAGCCUUCCUAGCCCCAUCACCCCUUGCAUGGUGAUACUCUUACAUAUGGACACUAGUUCUUAUCAGUAUUAAGUAUUCUCCUUUC